rnacentral:rRNA from 1 species
UACGAAGGGGGCUAGCGUUGCUCGGAAUCACUGGGCGUAAAGGGUGCGUAGGCGGGUCUUUAAGUCAGGGGUGAAAUCCUGGAGCUCAACUCCAGAACUGCCUUUGAUACUGAAGAUCUUGAGUUCGGGAGAGGUGAGUGGAACUGCGAGUGUAGAGGUGAAAUUCGUAGAUAUUCGCAAGAACACCAGUGGCGAAGGCGGCUCACUGGCCCGUUACUGACGCUGAGGCGCGAAAGCGUGGGGAG